rnacentral:rRNA from 1 species
UACGUAGGAUGCAAGCGUUGUCCGGAUUUAUUGGGUUUAACGGGUGCGUAGGCGGCCUAUUAAGUUAGUGGUGAAAACGUUCGGCUUAACCGAAUACCCGCCAUUGAUACUGAUAGACUUGAGUGCGACAGAGGGUGUUGGAAUGUGUGGUGUAGCGGUGAAAUGCUUAGAUAUCACGCAGAACUCCAUUUGCGAAGGCAGAUGCCUAUGUCGUAACUGACGCUGAGGCGCGAAAGCGUGGGUAGCAAACAGG